rnacentral:rRNA from 1 species
UACGUAGGGUGCAAGCGUUGUCCGGAAUUAUUGGGUUUAAAGGGUGCGUAGGUGGCCUUAUAAGUCAGCGGUGAAAGUCUGCAGCUUAACUGUAGAACUGCCAUUGAUACUGUAAGGCUUGAGUACUGAUGAGGUAGGCGGAAUUGAUAGUGUAGCGGUGAAAUGCAUAGAUAUUAUCAAGAACACCGAUUGCGAAGGCAGCUUACUAAGGAGUUACUGACACUGAGGCACGAAAGCGUGGGGAUCAAACAGG